UCCUGCCUGUUCCUGCUGGCCUCUGAGCCACACCCAGGACACCUCCUGCCGGUGGCCACCCGCCCCCCCCCUUCCGUGACUGGGCAGCCCCUCUCGUUAGAGCGCUUUCAGGCGGACAGCACAUUGGAGAGGAAGGCCUCUCCCUCCCCACGCUGAACCGCUGGCUCAGGUCACCCUGGGCCCCAGGUCUGCCUCGGGGUCGCUCCUGUUCGCUCCACGGGGCCUGGCGAACGUGGAGGAGGAGGCAGGUGCCCAGCUGGUAGCCCCGCUGUCCUCAGGGCGCCACCCUCCCGUCCACAGGGUGUCCCUCUCUCGUCCUGGGCCUGCGGGACUCACAGGGCUAAAUCUAGGUGGCCAUGCGGCCGCAGGGUGGAGUGACCCGCUGCACCCAGGCCCGGCUCAGGCCCGGUGUGCACGUGGGGGACACACACUUCGGGUCAGGCUCAGGGCCAGACGCAGCUGAGCAGUAGCGGGGGGCACAGCCUGGGGCAGGUGCUGACCGGGCCUUGGCGAUGACAGGCCGGCGGGGGAGUCGGUCCCGGGCGGAGCAGGAGCCCUGGGAGCCGGCCCCUCGGACCCUCGCUAGGCGCUGC